CAAUGUUCUAAACCCAGAUUCAUCGCAUUUCACCUAAACCCUUUUCACGGAAACUCUUCGCUCAUUUCACAGUUCACCAUCGCAGUUAACCAUGGAUAACGAAGCUGAAGAAGUUUGAGAGGAAACCAUCGCUCAUUUAACAAUGACGACAACAAAGCUGAAGCCGUUUGAUCAAAUUCCCCAACCAAAUACCCCCAAAGCGAACUUCAUGGCGACACCGUCGUUUUGUUCUAGAAACUGCACUGUGCCGGCGGAAAUGCCAAAUUGCUUCACGUUUCCGAUGAUCAUUGAGUUGUGUGCGAAGUCGAAAGGAUUUGUAGAAGGUCAAGAAGUUCAUUAUUGUGCUGCGAAGUGUUGUUUUAAGUUGAAUUCAUUUGUGGCUACUUCGUUGAUUGAUCUGUACUCUAAAGGGUUGUAUUGAAGAUGCUUAUAAAGUGUUUGAUGAAAUGCGUGAGAGUAAUGUUGUUGUGUGGACUGUUGUUAUAAGCGCUUAUAUAUUCUUGGACCAAAUACUUUAUUUAAUUCCCUGAAUCGACCAUGGUCAAGAUCUUUGAACCAAUAAUCUUGUGCAUCAACAUCACUCAAACAUACAUCUUUUUUGUCCAUAUCUAAAUUUGCUUCUGAGGCUAUUGUGAAGUCACUGAGUUAUGUGCGUUCCCUAGUGGCACAACACAUUCCAAAGCGACUUUUUCAGCCAUCUACAUUUUCAAGACUGUCUUCCGCAUUAGGACAAUCACUUCCGACAUUAUCAUCAUUGUUAGAUAAAUCCCUCAGUUCCCAACUAUGUCCAGCAAGCAUCCAAGAAACGGCUUGAGGAGCAACAGUCAUCAUCAAUGCUAGCUGAAAACUCUUAGUUGGCUACUCGUUGUGCAGCACUUGAUCUACAGCUUAAACACUCGCUCUGCAUUACACGAUCCAUAACGCUCACAGUCCUUGCCUCUCGUCCUCUUCUUCGUUCAUCAGGUUGAACUGGUGUGUUAUAAACUUAGAGGCCGGUUGAAAGUGUUUACGAAUUAUGGUUUUAGAGGGGGCUUUUUACUGUCAUAGAAUUUGCACAAUUUAGGUUGAACCAUUCAAAGAUUGGUUAUGGUUGAUACAAUUCAAAGAAUGUUAUCUGCAAGUUUUCUCAUUAGAUACAUAAUUUCCUCAUAAUCUCCAAAAUAGACACUACACUGCUCAUGAUUUCAAUUUGUCAUUUGUCUAUUUAUGUAUCUUCUUACAAGAAUAGUAUUUUGGUUUCAUGAGGGAAUAUGAAAACUAAUAUACUUUUCUCCCACUUUCAGCUUUUCGAAUUUGCAGUAUCACGUAGAGGAACCUAUGAUGGAACAUGCCCCUUCUACUGCUCGUAUUCAGGUUAUAAUGCAUGUAAUUACUCUUGUAGUAAUUAAUUUUUUCUAAUUCAUUAACUUUACGGUUUUAGAUGUGUCGCACACAAGUUAGAGAUUCAUGAAAAGUGAGUUCUUACGAUAAACUUUCAUUAAUUUUAUUAUAUAAAAAUCAUAAUAUAUAUAACAUUUUGUGGUUUAGGUAAGAGAAUUUGUGAAGUUAAAUACUUGAAUUGCAUGCUUUUCGUUGAGUGGUUUGAUUUGUGUAAGAUUCUGCUUUUUUUCGUUUGGAUUUAUUUUGUAUCACGAUAGGACCAGAAGGCGCAUGAGUCGAUCCUGAAAGCAUUAAACCUGCCGGGGUUCGUCUGACAAAACUCAUUCUUUUUUGUAUUUGUUUAGAACUCCCUCUCAUGGUUAUUAAUAUCAUGUGAUACAUGUGAAUCGUAUCUCAAUGAACAUAUGUGAAUUUCUAGUGUGUAUCUAUUUUGGAUAUGCCUCUCAUCUGAAAUUCCUAUAUAAUGAAUUUUGAUUCAUUCUCUAAUCUCUAGUGAAUCACGACCUAAACUAAGUGUUGUCAACCGCUUUUUUCUUGUCCACUUUGUAUAGAUAGCCACUUUUUCGUUUGAUUUUUGACUUGAAUCUUGAAUUAUUUUGAUGUUUAUAUAUGAUAUAUCAACAUAUAAUUUUGCUAUGUCAUUUGUUUUAGCUUUAAAAUGUCAUAAUUUUAUUGGUAAUGUAUCUACAAUUCAUAAUAAGGUUUGAUCCCUGAUUCAUAAUAUAGAUAUUCUGAUUCACGAUUUGAAGUAAAAAUUUCCAUCCAUUGUUGUUCUGAAAAUGUGUUCGUAGUUAUAUUAUACAUUUAAUUUAAGUUUCUUUUGUUGAACUAAUAGCCUUUCUAUUGCAGUAUUGCUGCAGAACUCAAUUUGAAGGAGUGGACUGUUAGGACAAAGAUUUGUGACAAAUGUCAUGAAACUGUUAAAAUUGCUAUGGUGGGAAAAUACACUGGCCUUUCAGAUGCAUAUCUUUCUGUUCUGAAGGCUGUGGCAGGACGCACAGAAUCAUGUUUAUCUCAUCAAAGAACUCGAUAGAAUCACCGGCCAGGGAAAAUCUGCUAUAUCAGUGGAUGAUACAAUGAAGAUCAUAGCCUGCAGG